AACGCAAAAAUUUUAGUUAUCGAGGAAAAUGUGGGUCAUAUGAACCUAGAAAGAACCUAGGAUUUGUAUGGUUCAGUUAAAGAACGUUUGAUGUGAAAUAUUUAUCGACAGUCACCUUGGGUUUAUUUUCUUCGAUAAAAAUACUUCUUGUGCAUGUAGACUGUAAUUACUUCAAGUUUUUACGUUGUUACAUACAUUAUUCCACUUCUAUUUUCAGAGAAAAGGCAAAACAUCGAAAUUGCUGCAUAUCGCUUCCAUUUUGAGCUUUUGACAACCUUCGGAAUACUUGAUACCACAUUCGCAAAGUUGAUUUCAGAAAUGUUGACGCAUGCAUAGACGUGUUUAAACGGUGUUAGCUUUCUUACUUUUUUUGGAUAGCUCAGCACAUCCAUUCCUCACCACACUUACGUCAUCGAUUGCCACAUCACUGGUGUAACCAUUGCCACGAACAGCUUCAAAUACUCUGAAAACCGAAAGUAAGUUUUUUUAUCUUUAAAUCAGGCUGUUAUCCAUCGAAAGUAAUUGUUUUGAUGAUAGGGAAGGUUUUCGACAAUUUUCAGAAAGUUUGGACUAGUUUGAGGUAGUUUUUCAAUGUUUUUGAAUUUGAGAAAUUUCCUUUGGUUCCCCCUUUGCUAGGGCUAAGGUACCCUGUGGUCCCCCCAAUGCAUGAGACCAAAAUUUUUUAAAUCAUGUUUUUAUUGAUCGAAAGUAAUUGUUUUGAUCACAGGAAAGGUUUUCAACAAUUUUCAGAAAGUUUCGACUAGUUUGAGGCAGUUUUUCAAUGUUUUUGAAUUUUUUAGAAAUUACCUUUGGUCCCCCCUCCUUUGCUAGGGCUAAGAUACCCUGUGGUCCCCCCUAAGGAUCUGACCGAAAUUUUUUAAAUCAACUUUUUAUCGAUCGAAAGUAAUUGUUUUGAUGAUAGGAAAGGUUUUCGACAAUUUUCAGAAAGCUUGGACUAGUUUGAGGCAGUUUUUCAAUGUUUUUGAAUUUUUGAGAAAUUACCUUUGGUCCCCCCUUUGCUAGAGCUAAGGUCCCCUGUGGUCCCCCUUGUGCAUCUGACCAAAAAUUUUUAAAUCAUGUUUUUAUCGAUCGAAAGUAACUGUUUUGAUCAUAGGAAAGGUUUUCAACAAUUUUCAGAAAGUUUGGACUAGUUUGAGGUAGUUUUUCAAUGUUUUGAAUUUUUUAGAAAUUUCCUUUGGUCCCCCCUUUGCUAGAGCUAAGGUCCCUGUGGUCCCCCUAUGCAUCUGACCGAAAUUUUUUAAAUCAAAUUUUUAUCGAUCGAAAGUAACUGUUUUGAUGAUAGGAAAGGUUUUCAACAAUUUUCAGAAAGUUUGGACUAGUUUGAGGCAGUUUUUCAAUGUUUUUAAAAAAUUUCAUUUGGUCCCCCCUUUGCAUAACUUGCUUAUAUUACGGUAUGUAAAUAUGUUACCAUUCAAUUGUAAAAAGCAUUUAUAUGCUUAUUGUAAAUUUACAUUAAUUGUUCUACUGUUACAGCUUUAGCAAUGUCUUACAAUAAGUGUAGUAAUGUUGUAAUACUUUAUUCACAUGUGCCUACACUUUAUAUCAACUGAUUUACAUAAAUUAUAAAUAAUGAAUUCCUAAUACACUACAUCUUCCCCUGGGAACAAUUUCCAAAUAUUAUUCUACUUCCUAUAUAUUCUAUAAUACAUUUUUUUUUCUUUUCUUCUUUUUUUUAAAACAUUAUAGUAUUAAUAGAUAUAACUAGAUAAAGUUCAAUAAUAGACAAAGUCCUUAGGCCGAACAAAAUUUCUUCCAUGACUUUUUGGAAAAUUUCGCUGAUAUCACUGAACCCAAACGGAACACGCUUGAAACGAAAACAGCCUUUGUUUGUUAUAAAGCCUAGUUCUCAUUCAUCGCAAACCGUCGGCGAUGGGAGCUUUGCGACGCCGGCGACCGCUUGCCAUUUAUGAGAACACAUCAAAAAUUAUAUCGCCGAUUGUCCGUAAUCGUCGCCGACCAUCGGCGAUGACAUCGCAGGAAACAAAAAAGUUUGUUUCUUGGGACCAUCGCCGACUGCCACCUGCUUGAAAAAUCUAUGAGAAAUGAGUAAAAGUUGUUUUUUCCUCUACAAGCAAGGAAAUAAUCAAUUGAAGUUUGACAGAAAUAAUGAACUUUACGUUGAAUGGGGCCAUUUUGUAGGAAAUUUGGGAAAUUUCGAAACACAUCGGCUGUCAUCUGCGACGAUCACCGAUGUAUGAGAACUUUCGUGCAUUCGCGCUCGGCGAGUAUCGGCGAUAAGCGUCGCCGAUCGUCGGUGACAGUUUGCGAUGAAUGAGAACUAGGCUUAAAUAGGGAUGAGCCGAUUAAUCGGUAAAUAAUCGGCAAAGCUGAUUAAUCGGCCGUUUUUUAAAUAAUCGGUAAUCGGCCAAUUAUUGCCUGAUAAUCGGCAAAUAAUCGGCCAUAAGACUUUUUC